GUAUAAGAGACAGCAGUCGCCGCGGGAAAACGGAGGGUGCAAGCGUUAAUCGGAAUUACUGGGCGUAAAGCGCACGCAGGCGGUCUGACAAGUCAGAUGUGAAAUCCCCGGGCUUAACCUGGGAACUGCAUUUGAAACUGGCAGGCUAGAGUCUUGUAGAGGGGGGUAGAAUUCCAGGUGUAGCGGUGAAAUGCGUAGAGAUCUGGAGGAAUACCGGUGGCGAAGGCGGCCCCCUGGACAAAGACUGACGCUCAGGUGCGAAAGCGUGGGGAGCAAACAGGAUUAGAUACCCCGGUAGUCCCUGUCUCUUAUAC
rnacentral:rRNA from 1 species